rnacentral:lncRNA from 1 species
AGAUUAGCGUGUCUCCAACUCAUUUCGAGACCAUUUGCUCUUCCAAAUUUUGGCCAGAGCACCUGGUUCUGAAAGAGUUUAAGGCUAAGAAGAAAAAUAGGCCCCCUAUAACUCUUCCUAGUAGUGAGGAAACUGGUCUUUCCUCCUCUGCUCCAUCCACCUCUUCCCACUGCAAUUCCUUGCAGUCAAAAAACUAUCAUCCCUCUUUGUAGCCUAUCAAAAUGCUCGCGGCUUACGUAGUAAGCUGAGCACUCUUUUUUUGGAUAGUUUCACAUUUUCAUCCCAUGUUAUUGUGUUUACCGAAACCUGGUUAAAGCCGGACAUUCUUAGUUCCGAAGUUUUGGUAGAUCGGUACACAAUUUAUAGGAAUGAUCGUUCGUCUCGACGUGGAGGAGGGGCUCUGAUUGCAGUAAACUCUUACUUUACGUCGGAACUUUUCAUAGUUUAGGUCUCACAAGACCUGGAAUUCCUCUGUGUUAGACUGAUUCUUCCCGGCCAGUCUAUUUAUGUCACUUGCUCGUAUAUUACACCAACUUCGGAUGUAUUAAUAUACGAGCAGCACUUGUCCGCCUUAAAAACUGUUUUUUCCUGUCUAUCUGAUAAAGACCAUUUAAUAGUUCUUGGGGAUUUCAACCUGGUCUUCGGUUAACGAGUCAAACAACCUUGUGCCCAUGUCAGGAUAUGAUUUUAUUGUAGGCUUAUUAGAACUGUCCCUGUCUUAAGUGAACCAUGUGAAACAUUCCUUUAGUGAUUGAUUGAUAUGUGCUUUGUCUCGGAUCCGACCGUUGCGUUGCUAACACGAGCGCUUCCGCUCACUAUUCCUGAAGACUGCUAUCAUCCUACUUUCGAAGUGCCGGUAUGUUUAGGACGUCCGUUGCUUUUGUAAAGUCGAGUUUAUUAAGCUCAAGCUCUGACUUUAUUGAAGGCACAAACAUUUUUUAAAGUGUUUUUAGCACAAUUUUCGAGUGUGUCCCACUCUUGUUUCCGAUUAGAUAUAAGAAGCCUUCUUGGUUCACCAAAGAGCUAUCCAGUCUUAAGAACCUAAAAUCAAGAAAAAGUCUUGAUUAAAAAUAAUCUCUUCUCUUUCUAGUUAUUUAAUAGCUCGGUCCAGUUCCACUGUUCUUAAUGCUCAAUGCUAUAGGAACUACCUACUUCGAAGCAGGAUACGCUUUUCAUAGAACCCUGAACAGUUUUAUCUGUUUAAAAGCGUUGUAAACAGUAAGCGUAGAAAGUCCGCACUUCAUCCUCCCUAUCAUUUCUGAAUACGUCGGCAAACAAUGAUCUUUGAUCGGCAAUUGCCGAUCUUUUUGCACAAUUGUUUCAAACAAAUUAUUUUCAGGAAUGCUACUCUGGUCAUGUGUAUCCAUACAGUUUAUCAAGCUCCAACCGCAUUUUCUGCCCUUUUUAAAUUAAAGCUCACUUCUUCAUGGUCUUCGAUAAGUAAAGAGUGUGAAAAGUAAGGGGCCUAAAUGGCUACCCUGUGGUACUCCAGAAGUAACCAUAACAGGUAAAAAUAAGAAGUUUUGAAAAGGACCCUUUGAGACCUAGAACACAGGUAGCUAGAAAUCCAUUUCAACAGAUUGGGCGGAAACUCUAGAAGGUCGAGCUUUUGUGCAAGAAGAAAAUUGUUUACAGAAACGAAUGCCUUACUGAAGUCAGUGUAAAUAACAUCCGUCUGCAAGUUACCUUGGAAUCCUUUAAUGACAAAGGAGGUGAACUCUAAAAGAUUAGUGGUUGUUGAUCGUCGCCGUAUAAAUCCGUGCUGAGCUGGAGAUAUAAGUGAUUUGCAGAGAUGUUGCAAGUGAGGAGAACGCUGGAACGCGUCACAAUUUUUGUACCCGGUCAGUGUGUUCAUAUUUACAUGUACACUACUGUCCACAAAAAUAAGUACACGCUUAAGAACUUUCUUUCAUGACUCCUACAACUUUUUUGCUAAAUGCAAAUGAAAAAUCCGACUCGUUUAUGGCAUUCUAACCUGUUAAAAUGUUUAUUAGUAUAUUGUGACGACGCAUAAUUUUGUAGUAUGUAAGUAGUUAUAAUUAUGAAGUCUUUGUUAUAUAUAUAGGGUUAAGUUUUCACUAAGAAAGUUAUUUGUUUUAUAUUUUAUUAGGUAUUAAGGAGAGGUACUAUGAAGUCUUUAUUAUUAAGUUUAUAAUUUUCCAUUAUUAGUUUCUAAGUUAUAUUAUAAGGUGAAAUUCUGAAGUCAUAAUUUAAGUUCGCGGCCCACAGUAACCAACAGCAGCAGAGCCAAAGAGAACGGCGACGCGAACCAACAGCAGCAAAGCCAAAGAGAACGACGACGUGAGCCAGCAGCAGAGCCAAAGAGAACGACGACGAGAGCCAGCAGCAGAGCGGCAGAAGCAGAGCCAGAGAUCAACGCCGAGAGCCAGCAGCAGAGAAGCAGAGCGAGAGAGCAAGGGCGCCGGCAGCAGCCCGAGAGCUGCCAACACUAAGAAGUCCACCGGCGUGGGUAGCGACGGCUGCGCAGCCCGGACAAGGGACCGCAGCUAAGGGCUCGCGAUCGCCACGCAGAACUCGCCUCGAGGAGAAAUGUUUCGAGCACCGGGAGGACCAGUCGAGAUCGCUGCGGCGACAAAAGUGAAAAGAGUAAAAAGUGCGCCAUAACCCCAACGUUGCCCACGAGAGGCUCAAGACCGAGCGCCAGGCGAGGAGACAAAAAGACCGAUAGGCUCGAGAGGAUCGGGUAAGCGAGGCUGGGUGAGCCCCACCCUUUUUCUAGUACGACUUAGUUUGGUGCGACGUAGGUAGGGACAUAGGAAAUUUAAGUACAUACGGCGGUAAGACAGGGAAAAGACAAGGAAAAAAAUAUGAAAUAAAGAUACCAGAAUAAAGAAACAAAACUAAACAAUGUGCUCGUGUGUAACAGUGUAAAUUUAACCCUUUCCCCCUCCCAAAGUGCAAGACGAUAAGUGUGGUCGCCCACCGUUGGAGGCUCCGCAGGUCACUACCGCGCCAGACCGCGGGCUCUCAAACGGCGCGUGCCUGCCUCCGAAACGGGUGCUGCCUAGGUACUACCAGGGGCGCUCGCGUCGGAGCAGACAGGGGCGGCUACACUGCCAGAAGGCGUCUCCACUAACCACCGGAUGACCGGUGUCAAUCAGGUUCCCUUUCCGCCCCAUAAGCCCACCUUUCCACACACGGCGUCUCCAUUUCCGCAAUCUCGGGUCCCGGCACUUUACAAAUUUCUUUGUAAGGUGGCCCUGGAGAGGCUGAGCUACCUCAGCCUUCGAAAAGACUACCUUAUAGAUGGCGCCCGAGCAGGGACUCCGGGAUUGUUAGCAUUUUUUUCGCUAGAUUUUUCGGACGGGGGCGCGGAAAUAGAGUAAAGAGCUAGAGUGAGGAGAGGUUAGGGUAUUUCAGGAGGAAGGUUCAGUAGCCCCUAAGACGUCCCCAUGCGCGUAUUGCCGUCAUUCGGCAAUAGGCUGUCCCGCAGUCGUAUCGCACCGGCGCGCCACGCGUAUACAUACAUGUAUGUUUACAUGAAUAUAUGCGCGCGGAUUGCGGCAAUCCAACAGACGACAACAAAUGAUGCGUCGCUUUGCGCGACCGAGUCCGUAUACAUCCAUGGCAAAUGUAGUUCUGCGCUUUUGCACACAGGGGGGGGGGGGGGUGCGUUUCAUUUGUUUUUGAAAUUUAGGUUUCCCUUAACAUAGGCCGGACUGCAUGCACACGAGUGCAUUUUCACAAACACCUUCACGUGGGCACAGUUUCACGGACACUGGGGCACCAAAAACCACACAUGCACAGUUUUAAAGUAAUUGGCCAGGGGUUUCUUUUGCACGCGUUUCAGCACUUUUGCCAAUUGCACAGUUUCACGUACACUGGGGCACCCAAAACCACACAUGCACAGUUUGAAAGUAAUUGGCCAGGGGUUUAUUUUGCACGCGUUUCGGCACUUUUGCCAAUUGCCCAGUUUUACGGACACUGGGACACCCAAAAGCACACGGGAACAGUUGGAAAAUCAUUGGUCAAGGUUUUGUUGUUUCCGGUUUACACACUGUACGGGAAAAUGCCCAGUUUUCAAGGAACUUAUACGUGCCAGUGAGAGGCAAGCGGGAGUGCGCACACACGAGGUUCUCAGGGCCCACAGGGCAGACAAAGUAAACAUUUCGGAGCUACGAGGAGCAGAGAGAUCGCACAGAAAAGAGGUUAUAUUUUUUUGGGUGAUCGCAUCUACGAAGGUCGGAAGAGAGAGAGGCGGGCCAAGCAGCGCUCGUGAACUCUCCGUCACGAUUGUUCGGCCGCAAAUGAAUCCCCCAUAAAUUAAGCUAGCAGAGCAUAAAAGAGGACAGUCGACCCAGAGUCAUUGAGCAGUGCACAUCGUUCCUAAUCAUAAACAUUCUGACCAAGUGAAAACAAAAGGAUUUACCAGGGAUACUACGGGUAUACAACAAGGACAUCGCACAGGAUACUAGAACCAAGGACAUCGCACAGGAUAACACUUCGAUACAACAAGGAUACUAGGAACAAGGACAGCCCACAGGAUACCAAGGAUACAUUGCACAGGCAUAGCACAGGACACAGCUGGAAUACAACAAGGACACAAGCGACACCGGAAUCAAGGCACAGGACCCAGGACACGGGAGCAGACUCCACAUAGCAGCAUGGUAGGAGUCGGAUGGAUCUCGUACCGGCGCAAGGCGGAACUGGAGGCAUUCGCCAAGGAAUUCAGACUCGAACGAGAAGGCCCCGUGGAGGAACUCCGAGGCCGCAUGUCUGCCUUUGUGAACCGUGGGGGACACUCGGCUUCCAUCCAGGCCCGCCUAGAGGAACUUGAAGACACCUUUGGACGAGCACGGACUCCAGACACCAAGCCAGAAACACAGCAGCGAUCUCGGAGCCUCUCGCCUACUACGAGUGGAAAUGGACCCCAAGCGAAGGAAAUUCCCCAAGAAGAACCAACCAGACCGGGGAUGCAUUACGUAAGCAUACCGGUGCCCGGACAGCAGCAGUUCGUGUCGCGAACCAACGAGAGGGUGAUGCUACCAAAUCAAUGCGACGUCUCCGGAGCUAGGGGCGUGGAGCGCAUGCAACGCUGGGGAGUCACUUUUGACGGCGUCAGCGAUCCCUUGCGAUUCAUCGAGCGGUUGGAGGAACGAGCCGUAUCACACCGAGUGGACACCAGCAGUUUGGCCCAAGGAGUACCGGAACUUUGAAAAGGUACUGCCGAGGACUGGUUCCGCACGAGUCAUCUACAGGGAGAGCCAUGGAACGUGUUUCGCCGGGAGUUUUUGGAUUUCUUCCUACCCCCGCGGUACUUUCAGAGACUGGAGGACGAGAUCAGGAUGCGAUACCAGAGGGAAAACGAGGGAUAAAAGCAGUAUCUAGUGGACAUUUGCCUAAUGAUGAACCGCGCUGGUUACUCGGAAGCUCAGGAACUCGAACUGCCGGAACUGCGGAGUACUUGGACACUUUGCCAGGGAAUGCCGUGGAACUCGGACACUAUUCUGCUGGAACUGUGGCCGCCGAGGAGUGAGGACCAUCGACUGCUGCCAGGCUAAGGAGACGGGAAACGCCCAUCGCCCCUCAUCAAACCCAGGACAGAUGAGAGGGCCAACGAGCGAGUCCUGGGACUAGCGGGACUAGCGUCCGCGAGAUGGCAGGCUUGCCGCCGAGGCAAGCAUCGAGGCUGAGGUGAUGAUAGCGACGCUGGACACGGGGGCCACGCGGAGUUUCCUCAGCAAGCAGAAGGCACGACUCAUCGAGACCCCGGCUAACAGACGAACAGUUUGAACAACAAUAGCUUUGGCAAAUGGGACAAGGAUGGAACUAACGCGGGCAAUUCAAGCAGAGGUACGACUCGGACAAUCACGGGCUAGCCUCCUGAUGCUGGUCCUGCCAUCGGCUCUCGACGACGUGCUACUCGGAUUGGAUUUCUUUGCCGCCAUAGAUGCCAAGCUGCAGGUAGGAGGGUUGCUCAUGCCCUUGAGCAGAGCCAACCACGUAACCACGGAGUGCCACCGACCAGCGAGGACAAACCAGGACGACGCCUGCAUCCGCGAGGCGGUCGUCACAUCAACAGAGACCACGGGGACACUCAAAGACGACGCCUGCAUCCGCGAGGCGGUCGUCACACGACCAUGGAGGACAAGGAAUCAAGAUGAUCCCGGCACCUGCAACCGCGAGGUGGCCGGCGGGUCAUCAUCGACGACGAGGUCAAGCAAGGACGACGCCUGCAUCCGCGAGGCGGUCGUCACGCGACCAGGGAGGACAAGGAAGCAAGAUGAUCCCGGCAUCUGCAACCGCGAGGUGGCCGGGGAUCAUCUGUGGCCCCCCAUCGAUGACAAGGAAAAGCAACCUUAGCACCUUAGCAGUGAGAACGAGGACCACACAGGACGACGCCUGGAUCCCAGCCAUGCAAGGGAUAAUUCACGCGCAAGUAGACGAGUUACUACGGGACGGAUGCAUCGAGCCGUCCAAAAGCCCACACAGUGCCCCUAUUGUGUUGGUGGGCAAGAAAACUGGAGAAACCCGCAUGUGUGUGGACUUUCGGCAACUCAAUGCACGAUCGGUACCGGAUGCAUACCCCCUGCCGAGGAUAAAUUCAAUCUUGGAGAGAUUGCGGAACGCUAAGUAUAUUAGCACAUUGGACUUGAAAAGCGGGUAUUGGCAGAUACCAUGGCCAAGGCAAGCCGUGAAUGCACCGCGUUCACAGUACCAGGCCGAGGUCUUUUCCAAUGGCGUGUUAUGCCAUUUGGACUCCACUCAGCACCCGCAACAUUCCAGAGGGCACUCGACAGCGUCAUCGGGGCAGAUAUGGAACCCCACGCGUUCGCAUAUCUCGAUGACAUCAUCAUCAUUGGAACCACAUUGGAGGAACACGUCAGGAAUCUCAGAGAAGUGUUGAGGCGCUUACGGCAAGCGAACCUCAGGCUUAACCGGAAGAAGUGCCUCUUCUUCCAGCGCAGGUUGGUGUACCUGGGGCACGUCGUUAGAAAGGAAGGAAUUCACACCGAUCCCGAGAAGAUCGCCGCUGUCCAAAAGCUCGCAGCUCCAACCAGUGUACGAGAACUACGCCGAUGCCUGGGUCUCGCCUCCUGGUACAGGCGAUUUGUCCCAAACUUUGCAGCCGUGGUACAACCGAUGUCACAGCUACUUCGGAAAGGCAAGAAAUGGACGUGGGAAAUGCCACAACAGCAAGCGUUCGCACAACUCAAGGAACUACUGACCGAGGCACCAGUUCUCGCGUGUCCGGAUUUUACCAGUAAGUUCUCUUUCCAGACUAACGCCAGCGACUACGGACUAGGAGGAGUACUAACCCAGCCGAGUGCCGACGGCGAGAGGGUCAUUGCAUAUGUGAGCCGGAGACUAUCGAGGGCCGAGGAGAAUUACUCCGCCACCGAGAAGGAAUGCUUAGCAAUCGUCUGGGCCAUCAGGAAGCUGCGUUGCUAUUUGGAAGGAUACAGGUUCGACGUCGUGACGGACCACUUGGCCCUCAAGUGGCUCAACACGAUCGAAAAUCCCACAGGACGAAUUGCACGAUGGGCCCUGGAACUCCAACAGUUCCAGUUCGACAUUCACUACCGGAAAGGANGAGUACUAACCCAGCCGAGUGCCGACGGCGAGAGGGUCAUUGCAUAUGUGAGCCGGAGACUAUCGAGGGCCGAGGAGAAUUACUCCGCCACCGAGAAGGAAUGCUUAGCAAUCGUCUGGGCCAUCAGGAAGCUGCGUUGCUAUUUGGAAGGAUACAGGUUCGACGUCGUGACGGACCACUUGGCCCUCAAGUGGCUCAACACGAUCGAAAAUCCCACAGGACGAAUUGCACGAUGGGCCCUGGAGCUCCAACAGUUCCAGUUCGACAUUCACUACCGAAAAGGACGACAGAACGUUGUCGCAGACGCCUUGUCACGACAGCCACUCGAGGCCAUACAGAUAAUCAUCGAGGAACAGAACACAUGCGCAUGGAUACGACGACGCACACAGGUGACACUGGAGCGACCAGAGAAGUACCCCGAUUAUACCCUGGAGAACGGACAAUUGUACAGGAACGUAGGACAACGGCCCCUGGAGGAAGAUUUCAUACCAUGGAAGCUCUGUGUGUUGCUGCAAGAAUUCCACGACCAACCAAGCGCGGGACACCUGGGAAUACGCAAAACAACGACAAGGGUAUGUCAAAGAUAUUAUUGGCCCGGAAUCUUCAGAGACGUCGCUCGCUACGUAAGGAAAUGUGCUGUGUGCCAAAAGUUCAAGACGCAACAAGCCAAGCCAGCAGGGAAGAUGCUAACACGACAGGCAAGCGAGCCUUUCGCUACCAUUUGCGCCGACUUCGUUGGACCACUGCCGAGAUCCAAACAAGGUAACACAGUGUUACUAGUCUUCUUGGAUAUGUUUUCCAAAUGGGUGGAGUUGAUACCUCUGCGCCGUGCCACGGCAACAUACCUGGAGAAAGCUUUUCGCGACCGGAUCGAGGGACCGCAUAGUACAUGGGACACCCUGCUACCGGAGAUUGCAUUGGCAAUCAAUAGGAGCGUGUCCGACACAACAGGAUUCAGUCCGGCGUUCCUGGUCCAAGGACGAGAGCCGAGACUACCAGGAGCAUUGUACGAGGAAGUCACGCCAGGUAGGCCUUAUCAGCGAUGGCUAGGGCUUUGGUCCCGCUUUGUCGACAUGCUCCAAAAGGUCCGCCGUUCCCUGUUGUGUGUCGCUCGUAGCCGCCUUGUCCCGGCGGUGAUGUUGGAUGCUGCUGCGCUAACCUCUGGUUGGUAACCGUCGAACCACGAUCACUUCGUUGUGCACGAUAGCUUUCGGUUGCUGCCCAAGGCCGCCAAGUUAGCCCAACGGUACGAGGGGCCGUAUAAGGUAAUCAAAUUCGAUUCACACAACAUAGCCAGAGUUCGUCACACACUGGACAACGGCGCACCGCCGGGGUAGCCGACCUAAAGGCCUUCCAGCAACACGACGACGAGGAACAGCAGGACAGCGAAGACGGCGAGCACCCGCUCGAUCGCAACACAGACGACCAGCCAGGACUAGCAAGUAAAUUUGGGGCCGCCCACAAGGCGGUAGUAAUAUUUCGUUAGGGUAUUUUCAAGUUUCGUCCUGUAGAGCAUAGUCUGUCCAUAGGCCCAGGGAUAUAACCUCGUUUAUAUCCCACAGCACUUAGUACGACCAUGGCCGACGAGGAGAUCGAGGAGCCGCGGCGACAGUGGGCAGACGAACGCCAAAACGACUGGGGCUGGGUUCCUCAGUAUCAUCGCCGGUUCGAGGGGUUCGACGACGAGGGAAACGAGGCCGAACCCGCCCGAGGACAUCAGCACGGAGCUUUUCCCGAGCACAGAGAGCGCCAUGUACCGAUACCUCUACCCGGAACCGGAUUCGUGGCUGCAACCAGAGGACGAAGAGGUGGAGAGAGUCGCCCGGGUGGCCGUCAUCAGUGACGAGUUAGGGGUGUCGACGUCGCGAACAGCAGCAACACCGACUGCUUCAUCCGCUUCGCUCGAGCUAUCGCCAGCCCAAGACACCGACGAGCUGGACUUGUCGUUCGGCACCAGCGACCUCCAUGCUCUUCUCGGACCAGAAGUUGAUGUCAAAGCCCUGAGGAGGAGGAAAAGUGGGUUGAGACACCUGCCGAAUUGCGGACGAAUACCCCACGCCGACUCAUCCCCCGGAGCCUCGUUGAAAUGGUCCGAACAAGCCAACAACAGGGGACCUGGAGGCGACGCUUCACCCUGGAGUGGCCGGAAAUUAUGAAGUCUUUGUUAUAUAUAUAGGGUUAAGUUUUCACUAAGAAAGUUACUUGUUUUAUAUUUUAUUAGGUAUUAAGGAGAGGUACCAUGAAGUCUUUAUUAUUAAGUUUAUAAUUUUCCAUUAUUAGUUUCUAAGUUAUAUUAUAAGGUGAAAUUCUGAAGUCAUAAUUUAAGUUCGCGGCCCACAGUAACCAACAGCAGCAGAGCCAAAGAGAACGGCGACGCGAACCAACAGCAGCAGAGCCAAAGAGAACGACGGCGUGAGCCAGCAGCAGAGCCAAAGAGAACGACGAAGUGAGCCAGCAGCCCGAGAGCGGCCAGAAGCAGAGCAGAGCAGAGAAGCAGAGCCAGAGAACGACGACGCGAGCCGCCAACAGAACAGAGAGAGCAACGCCGAGAGCCAGCAGCAGAGCAGCAGAACGAAACGAGAACGACGACGAGAGCCAGCAUCAGAGCGGCAGAAGCAGAGCCAGAGAGCAACGCCGAGAGCCAGCAGCAGAGCAGAAGAGCGGCAGAAGCAGAGCGAGAGAGCAAGGGCGCCGGCAGCAGCCCGAGAGCGGCCAACACAAAGAAAUCCACCGGCGUGGGUAGCGACGGCUGCGCAGCCCGGACAAGGGACCGCAGCUAAGGGCUCGCGAUCGCCACGCAGAGCUCGCCUCAAAAAGAAAUGUUUCGAACACCGGGAGGACCAGUCGAGAUCGCUGCGGCGACAAAAGUGAAAAGAGUAAAAAGUGCGCCAUAACCCCAACGUUGCCCACGAGAGGCUCAAGACCACGUGCCCACGAGAGGCUCAAGACACCGAGCGCCAGGCGAGGAGACAAAAAGACCGAUAGGCUCGAGAGGAUCGGGUAAGCGAGGCUGUGGGCCUCACCCUUUUUCUAGUACAACUUAGUUUGGUGCGACGUAGGUAGGGACUUAGGAAAUUUAAGUACAUACGGCGGUAAGACAGGGAAAAAGACAAGAAAAAUAUGAAAUAAAGAUAUGAGAAUAAAGAAACAAAACUAAACAAUGUGCUCGUGUGUAACAGUGUAAAUUUAACCCUUUCCCUCCCUUCCAAAGUGCAAGACGGUAAGUGUGGUCGCCCACCGUUGGAGGCUCCGCUGGGCUG